GGGGAUGAAAUGGCUUCGACAGGGAAGUGGAAGGUUACAGAUUGCGAGUCGAGCUGUUCUAACUCGUUAAACUGGGACAAAACAUUAAUUGCCGAGAAAGUACCUACUUUCGGUCGCUCCUUCAACGCUUUGCCCGUCGCGGCGUAAGCUAGAUAGCGAGCAACUCUGGCUCUAAAAACAGAGCCUCGUCCGGGCUUCGCUUAUCCCUGAGAGGGGGGUUCGGGCGUCAACUAAAUCAGGGUGCUCUGAGACAACGCCGGUAAGUCUCAGCUAAGACCAACCGGCUGGUUUGGGUGAACUUUGGUGGCUAACGAAGCCCAAGCGACACUCUUGAAGUCCACCUACACUCGUAGACGUUUGUAGCCAGCUUUCGUGGACGCGAGUUCGACUCUCGCCA
rnacentral:tmRNA from 1 species